rnacentral:rRNA from 1 species
UACGUAGGGGCCGAGCGUUGUCCGGAGUUACUGGGCGUAAAGCGCGCGCAGGCGGCUCGCUAAGCCCGGCGUGAAAGCCCCCGGCUCAACCGGGGAGAGUCGUCGGGGACUGGCGAGCUUGAGGGCGGCAGGGGCUGGUGGAAUCCCCGGUGUAGUGGUGAAAUGCGUAGAGAUCGGGGGGAACACCCGUGGCGAAGGCGGCCAGCUGGGCCGGUCCUGACGCUGAGGCGCGAAGGCGUGGGGAGCGAACGGG